AGCCCUAAAAUGGAAAAAAUUUAAAAUUACUUAGACAAUGUGAUGUCAUCAAAGGAACCCUAAGUA
rnacentral:snoRNA from 10 species